GAUGAAGAACGUAGCGAAAUGCGAUACUUGGUGUGAAUUGCAGAAUCCCGUGAACCAUCGAGUCUUUGAACGCAAGUUGCGCCCGAAGCCUCGGCUAAGGGCACGUCUGCCUGGGCGUCACGCAUCGCGUCUCCCCCAAACCGCCAAGGCGGAGGGGAAGGAAGAUGGCUUCCCGUGCCUCACCCGGCGCGGUUGGCCUAAAUUUGGAGCCCGCGGCACUUAGCUCUCGCGGCGAUAGGUGGUGAACAAGGCCUUGGCCGUGCAAACAACCCGCUGCGAAGCUCUAUGUCACGUGCGCUCGUCGGACCCUUUGAAGUUGCCUUCGGUGACUUAAAACCUUUGCGACCCCAGGUCAGGCGGGGCUACCCGCUGAAUUUAAGCAUAUCAAUAAGCGGAGA
rnacentral:misc_RNA from 1 species